rnacentral:rRNA from 1 species
UUAAGUUAGUGGCGGACGGGUGAGUAACGCGUGGGUAACCUGCCGUAUACCGGGGGAUAACACCUGGAAACAGGUGCUAAUACCGCAUAAGCGCACGGGACCGCAUGGUCCAGUGUGAAAAACCGAGGUGGUAUGCGAUGGACCCGCGUCUGAUUAGCCAGUUGGCAGGGUAACGGCCUACCAAAGCGACGAUCAGUAGCCGGCCUGAGAGGGUGGACGGCCACAUUGGGACUGAGACACGGCCCAAACUCCUACGGGAGGCAGCAG